AUUGAACGCUGGCGGCAGGCCUAAUACAUGCAAGUCGAGCGAGUGGCGGACGGGUGAGUAAUGUCUGGGAAACUGCCUGAUGGAGGGGGACAACUACUGGAAACGGUAGCUAAUAUCGCAUACCAUCAGAUGUGCCCAGAUGGGAUUAGCUAGGAGGUGGGGUAACGGCUCACCUAGGUGACGAUCCCUAGCUGGUCUGAGAGGAUGACCAGCCACACUGUAACUGAGACACGGUCCAGACUCCUACGGGAGGCAGCAGUGGGGAAUAUUGCACAAUGGGCGCCAGCCUGAUGCAGCCAUGCCGCGUGUGUGAAGAAGGCCUUCGGGUUGUAAAGCACUUUCAGCGGGGAGGCGUUACCCGCAGAAGAAGCACCGGCUAACUCCGUGCCAGCAGCCGCGGUAAUUC
rnacentral:rRNA from 1 species